rnacentral:rRNA from 1 species
GUACUGCCUGCCCAGUGACACUAAGUUAAACGGCCGCGGUAUUUUGACCGUGCUAAGGUAGCGCAAUCACUUGUCUUUUAAAUGAAGACCCGUAUGAAUGGCAAGACGAGGGCUUAACUGUCUCCUUUUUCCAGUCAAUGAAAUUGAUCUUCCCGUGCAGAAGCGGGAAUAAGCCCAUAAGACGAGAAGACCCUGUGGAGCUUCAGACAAUAGGACCGCCCAUGUCAAACAUCAGAAGAUAAAACUGAACAAACUAAAUGGCCCCUGCUCUAAUGUCUUCGGUUGGGGCGACCAUGGGGAAUCACAAAACCCCCACGUGGAAUGGGGUCACACCUCCUCCCCCACAAACCAGAGGGACACCUCUAAUGAACAGAAUUUCUGACCUCCUAUGACCCGGCAAUGCCGAUCAACGAACCAAGUUACCCCAGGGAUAACAGCGCAAUCCCCUUUAAGAGCCCAUAUCGACAAGGGGGUUUACGACCUCGAUGUUGGAUCAGGACAUCCUAGUGGUGCAGCAGCUACUAAGGGUUCGUUUGUUCAACGAUUAAAGUCCUACGUGAUCUG